rnacentral:misc_RNA from 1 species
GCUUAAUUAGAAAGUAUAAUGACUUAUUUGGUUUAAAACUUAAUUUUUGGUUUAUUUGACCCUUGAUUGAAAGUACAAGAUCUUAUUUGGUCUUUUUUACCAAACAAAAACCCUAGAAACAGAGAGCUUUAAAUCCUAUUAUUGGGCAGCAUAAAAGGUUAAAUUUUAGCCCUAUCCUAUCAAACGCCAGGGAACCAUUAUGCUCUACAUGUACACAGAAGAAACAGGAACUAUAAGGCUGAUAGAAAUAAACAUAGUUAUUAAAGGC